CUGUUUCAAACAUAGAAUGAAGAAGGUUUCCUGCAGGAGGGAAUGGUGAAUAACACAGAUGUUCCUGUGGAUCCUGAGAACGAGGCUUACGAAAUGCCUCCAGAGGAAGAGUAUCAAGACUAUGAACCUGAAGCAUGAGAGUCCUUUACUUCCUUUCUAUCUCCUGAAAUCUACCAACUACUAAAGACGUCCCAUCCUGUACAAGUGCUGAGUUCCAAUGUGCCCAGUCGUAAAAUUUUUUUACAGUUUUUACAGUGUAUUUUGAAGUCUUCCAUCAGCAAUGAUUGGAGCGUCUGUGACUGCAACCACUUUGUUUCAGCAUUUCCCUCCUGCUGGAAUGAAAGCUGGUUGGCAGGGUCAUUGUUGUGCUGUGGAUAUUGUGGCUUCAAGUUUAAAAGUUAAAAAAGAAAAUAUUAAAUAAAAACACCUAAGUGUCUACUGCUUAUUUCUAACUCUGUACAUGUUUUGUUGAUAAGCUGUCAGUAAUUUGAUAUUGUUUAUGAUACAAUUUUUAUUUGUUUCCUAUGACUAUUCUUUCUGUGCAGACAUGACUUAUUGUGAGAGCUUUAUAUAGAUGCGUAUGUAUUAUACAUAUUAAAAAAAGUAAUUGAGCAUGAACUAUGCACCUAUAAAUAUUAGCUGUUGAAAUCUUAUUGUCUUGUGAUGUGUUUUAUUAACUUGUCUGUAAAUAAUGGUGUUCAACUGAAGCGAAUAAAAUGUAACCCAUUAAAAAUGAA